AAUAAUACUUGCACUUUUUUAGAUUCUAAUAUUCCAGCUAGAAGAAGAAGGCUCAGAAGCACUUCGGACUUGCCAAAAAUUAUUGAGGAGGGUGAAAAUCAGACAGAUUUUAAGCAAAAACUACGAAGUCGAAAUAAGCAAUAAUGUAAUGGUUUAAGUUUAAAUGAACUUGUUUUUAUAGUGUUUAUAAAUACAUUCAAUACUGGAAAUAUGCUAAAAUGGUUUUUGUAAUAAUAAAUAUUGUUUACUCUAUAAAUACUAUUUCAGAUGUGAUAAUAUUUAUAAACCAGCUGUAUUGAUAUUUUGAGGUCGUAGGCGGAUAAAAAAAGCGAACUUCCCUCCUGAUAAACAUAAAUUUUCAAAUUUUAACAAACCAUUUAUGAUAUAAUUUAGUGUCUUAUUUAAUUUAAAUGUUCUUAUUUUAGCUUAGCGACAUCUAGUUCUUUAACCACGUAUUACACGUUCGCCUAUAUUUUUCCAAUUUUUGCAUAUAUUAAGUUUUUAUCAGUUCUUAUGUUUUUAGAUUAUAGAAUUAGCAAAAUAUAACCUUAAAAAUGUUAAGAACUCUGACUGUAAGUAAGUAAAAAGUGCCGAAAAUGCUUAUAUUUACGGAAAAACUAUAUUGUGAGGAAAAAAUAUAGUACUAAAAGUAGCAAAAAUAAUAUAAAUCAAGAAGAUUUAAAUAAUAUUCGUAAUAUUGGAAUUUUAGCCCAUAUCGAU